UACGUAGGGGGCAAGCGUUGUCCGGAUUCAUUGGGCGUAAAGAGCUCGUAGGCGGCUUGGCAAGUCGGGUGUGAAAACUUCAGGCUCAACCUGGAGCGGCCACUCGAUACUGCCAUGGCUAGAGUCCGGUAGGGGACCACGGAAUUCCUGGUGUAGCGGUGAAAUGCGCAGAUAUCAGGAGGAACACCUGAGGCGAAGGCGGGCUACUGGGCCGAUACUGACGCUGAUGCGCGAAAGCCAGGGGAGCGAACGGG
rnacentral:rRNA from 1 species